rnacentral:rRNA from 1 species
CAGGCCUAACACAUGCAAGUCGAACGGCAGCACAGUAAGAGCUUGCUCUUACGGGUGGCGAGUGGCGGACGGGUGAGGAAUACAUCGGAAUCUACUUUUUCGUGGGGGAUAACGUAGGGAAACUUACGCUAAUACCGCAUACGACCUACGGGUGAAAGCAGGGGACCUUCGGGCCUUGCGCGAUUGAAUGAGCCGAUGUCGGAUUAGCUAGUUGGCAGGGUAAAGGCCCACCAAGGCGACGAUCCGUAGCUGGUGUGAGAGCACGACCAGCCACACGGGCACUGAGACACGGGCCCGACUCCUACGGGAGGCAGCAGUGAGGAAUAUUGGUCAAUGGACGCAAGUCUGAACCAGCCAUGCCGCGUGAAGGAUGAAGGCGUUACGCGUCGUAAACUUCUUUUAUCUGGGAAGAAACCUCAGUAUUCUUAUUGAGCCGACGGUACCAGAGGAAUAAGCACCGGCUAACUCCGUGCCAGCAGCCGCGGUAAU